GAUGAAGAACGUAGCGAAAUUCGAUAAGUAAUGUGAAUUGCAGAAUUCAGUGAAUCAUCGAAUCUUUGAACGCUCAUUGCGCCCGCCAGUAUUCUGGCGAGCAUGCCUGUUCGAGCGUCAUUUCAACCAUCAAGCCCCAGGCUUGUGUUGGAGCCCUGCGGCUGCCGCAGCCUCCCAAAACCAGUGGCGGGCUCGCUAUCACACCGAGUGCAGUAGUUUACUCUUCGCUCAGGGCGUGUGGCGGGUGCUAGCCGUGAAACCCCCAACUUCUCAAGGUUGACCUCGGAUCAGGUAGGAAUACCCGCUGAACUUAAGCAUAUCAAUAAGCGGAGGA
rnacentral:misc_RNA from 1 species